rnacentral:rRNA from 1 species
UACGUAGGGACCAAGCGUUGUUCGGAUUUACUGGGCGUAAAGGGCGCGUAGGCGGCCUAGCAAGUCACUUGUGAAAUCUCCGGGCUUAACUCGGAACUGCCAAGUGAAACUGCUGGGCUAGAGUGCAGAAGGGGCAAUCGGAAUUCUUGGUGUAGCGGUGAAAUGCGUAGAUAUCAAGAGGAACACCUGAGGUGAAGACGGGUUGCUGGACGGUCACUGACGCUGAGGCACGAAAGCGUGGGGAGCAAACAGG